GAAAGCGUCUCCAGGCACAAGCUCCGCGCAUGCGCAAAAUGAGAACGGGGCGUAAACAGACAGCAAUCCCUCCUCAAGGGAUGGGCAAUACCGAAUACUCGAUAUCGUCGAAAACGAUGUGUAUUACAUUUAUCUUUAUGGCAUUUGGCAGACGUCCUUAUUCAGAAUGAUUUACAGUUAUCUAGUUUUACGUCUGAACAGUUAAGUGAUAAGGGUUUCCUUCAAAGAAUAGGAUCUUGGAGGUGCUGGAAUUUGAUCUCACGAUCGUCCGAUCUGAAGUCCAACGACAUAACCGAUGAGCUUCUCCACCUCUACUACAUGAGUUCAGAUAAACUUGGUGAACCGUCUAACAUAAAUUCCCCCCUAACGGAUAACGGGACUAUGAUUUUAUGUGAUGAUGCGUACGUUUUUUAUGUCAUGUGUAUGUUGAAACAAUCAAGACAACCACAGCAACAUGAUUUUUUUUUUUUUACCACAACCUGAUUUAUUGUGUACUAACACUGAAGUUGACAAUGAUUUCAUCCUUCGAGUGUCUACAGAAAGUUGCAAAUAAAUUCCAAAAACACCGAUCAUGAAUUUGUAGAAAUUUUCCGACUACAUCUAAUCAGGAUGUUUGCUGAAAGACUUGAAGACGGCGUAUCAUUUGUGGUCAUUGUUUCGUUUACAAUUAAGUACAUGAACAAAGCCUUUAAUAAUCACUUAAUAUGAAGACUUGAAACACAUCACAUGUACCCAAGCAGGAGUGCACUCAUUAAUUACAGACUAUUUUUUUUGUUAUCUGUGACUCAUAGAAAGAAGCUGUUGUGUGACUGGUUCCCUGUGUUCCGUAAGUAAAAACGACGAUGGCAAACUUGUUGAGUUGUAGCAUGAAGCCUGACAUUGAACCUGACUUGGACUGACACUGAGAGUCAAAAUGGCUUCAUUCAAUCCUGAAUGGUUUCUGCUGAUAUGUGGAAACGUCUUGCUGGUUAUACAGGAAAAAUCUCCAGUCUUGCUCUAGAUUAGCACCUUUAGUGUGUAUA